rnacentral:rRNA from 1 species
GAUGAACGCUGGCGGCGGGCCUAACACAUGCAAGUCGAACGGAGUCCAGCCUUUAAUACCUUCGGGGCAAAGGGGGGACGACUGAGUGGCGGACGGGUGAGUAACACGUGGGCAACGUGGGUCAUAGAGGGGGAUAACAGAGAGAAAUCUCUGCUAAUACCACAUAAGCACACACUGCCGCAUGGGAGAGGGUGAAAAGAGAAUCGCGAUGAGAUGGAAGCGCGUCUGAUUGGCCAGUGGUCAGGGUAAGAGCGUCCCAAAGCGACGAUCAGUAGCCGAUCUGAGAGGCAGAACGGACACACCGGGACUGAGCCACGGCCCAAAAUCCUACGGGAGGCAGCAGAGGGGGAUAUUGCACAAUGGGGUGAACGCUGAUGCAGCGACGCCGCGUGAGUGCAGACGUCUUUCGGUAUGUAAAGCUCUAUCAGCAGGGAAGAUAAUGACAGUACCUGAAUAAGAAGCCCCGGCUAACUACGUG